GGGUUAUAUGGAGUAAUAGGAGGGGUUAGAGGGAGGGUUAUAUGGAGUAAUAGGAGGGGUUAGAGGGAGGUUUAUAUGGAGUAAUAGGAGGGGUUAGAGGGAGGGUUAUAUGGAGUAAUAGGAGGGGUUAGAGGGAGGUUUAUAUGGAGUAAUAGGAGGGGUUAGAGGGAGGGUUAUAUGGAGUAAUAGGAGGGGUUAGAGGGAGGGUUAUGUGGAGUAAUAGGAGGGGUUAGAGGGAGGGUUAUAUGGAGUAAUAGGAGGGGUUAGAGGGAGGGUUAUAUGGAGUAAUAGGAGGGGUUAGAGGGAGUAAUAGGAGGGGUUAGAGGGAGGUUUAUAUAGAGUAAUAGGAGGGGUUAGAGGGAGUAAUAGGAGGGGUUAGAGGGAGGGUUAUAUGGUGUAAUAGGAGGAGUUAGAGGGAGGUUUAUGUGGGGUAACAGGAGGGGUUAGAGGGAGGGUUAUAUGGAGUAAUAGGAGGAGUU